AGGGUUUGAUCAUGGCUCAGAACGUACGCUGGCGGCACGCCUAACACAUGCAAGUCGAACGAAGUAGCAAUACUUAGUGGCAGACGGGUGAGUAACAUGUAGGUAUCUGCCCUUUGGCCUGGAAUAACACGAGGAAACUUGUGCUAAUACCGGAUAAGUCUUUACGGAGAAAGCUUUAUGCACCAUUGGAUGAGCCUGCACUUGAUUAGUUUGUUGGUGGGGUAAUGGCCUACCAAGACUGUGAUCAAUAGCUGAUUUGAGAGGAUGAUCAGCCACAUUGGGACUGAGACACGGCCCAAACUCCUACGGGAGGCAGCAGUGGGGAAUCUUGCACAAUGGAGGAAACUCUGAUGCAGCGAUGCCGCGUGAGUGAAGAAGGCCCUUGGGUUGUAAAGCUCUUUCGUCGGGGAAGAAAAUGACUGUACCCGAAUAAGAAGGUCCGGCUAACUUCGUGCCAGCAGCCGCGGUAAUACGAAGGGACCUAGCGUAGUUCGGAAUUACUGGGCUUAAAGAGUUCGUAGGUGGUUGAAAAAGUUGGUGGUGAAAUCCCAGAGCUUAACUCUGGAACUGCCAUCAAAACUUUUCAGCUAGAGUAUGAUAGAGGAAAGCAGAAUUUCUAGUGUAGAGGUGAAAUUCGUAGAUAUUAGAAAGAAUACCAAUUGCGAAGGCAGCUUUCUGGAUCAUUACUGACACUGAGGAACGAAAGCAUGGGUAGCGAAGAGGAUUAGAUACCCUCGUAGUCCAUGCCGUAAACGAUGUGUGUUAGACGUUGGAAAUUUAUUUUCAGUGUCGCAGCGAAAGCGAUAAACACACCGCCUGGGGAGUACGACCGCAAGGUUAAAACUCAAAUGAAUUGACGGGGACCCGCACAAGUAGUGGAGCAUGUGGUUUAAUUCGAAGAUACGCGCAGAACCUUACCAACACUUGACAUGUUCGUCGCGACUCUAAGAGAUUAGAGUUUUCGGUUCGGCCGGACGAAACACAGGUGCUGCAUGGCUGUCGUCAGCUCGUGUCGUGAGAUGUUGGGUUAAGUCCCGCAACGAGCGCAACCCUCACUUUUAGUUGCCAUCAUUAAGUUGGGCACUCUGAAAGAACUGCCAGUGAUAAGCUGGAGGAAGGUGGGGAUGACGUCAAGUCCUCAUGGCCCUUACGUGUUGGGCUACACACGUGCUACAAUGGUAUCUACAACAGGAAGCAAGACUGCGAAGUUAAGCAAAUCCUUAAAAGAUACCUCAGUUCGGAUUGCACUCUGCAACUCGAGUGCAUGAAGCUGGAAUUACUAGUAAUCGUGGAUCAGCGUGCCACGGUGAAUGCGUUCCCGGGUCUUGUACACACCGCCCGUCACACCAUGGGAGUUGGUUCUACCUUAAGGCAAGGUUUCAAACCCUUGACCACGGUAUAGUCAGCGACUGGGGUGAAGUCGUAACAAGGUAACCGUA
rnacentral:rRNA from 1 species